UUUUGUUGACCUUCUCUUGUCCAGAUGCAUCUAUCAAUCAUUAAUAAAGAUAACCAUUUGGAGUGAAACUGGUUGCUGUCUGGGUUUGGGUGUCCUCUCUGCCCUCAUUUUAAGACUGCGAGUGAUGGGGUGAUUGAGAGGCACUUAAGGAACCACACUGCAAAUGCAAUACAUUUCCAGGGAUUGUGGAUACAGUUGAGAGAGGAGGGGUUCGGGCCGUGUUUUCCAGGGAUCAGAUAAAGAUUGUACCUCUGGAGAAUCCAUCUACCUCUCUCAGGCUUAAACAGCACCUUAAACUAAGGGCGCUGAAUUUAAGCGACCAGCGGAUCUUUGAGCUUCUGAGGGUGAUAGAGGAGGUCAUGGGUCUAGGAACCAGGAUAAGGAAAGGAGAGAUCAAGCUCCUAGACUUCGUGUUUGAUGUCAUGCUCCCAGAGAUCCUGAUCAGCAUCCUGGACGAUGAAGGACUGACCCGGCUACAAGCUGAGUUAUUAAUGGCUAGAGGGAGACGUUUUUAAGUGUAAACCUCCAUUUUGUUUAUUCAUUUUUUG